ACUGUCAAUGCGUAGGCUACAAUCAAAACAGUGGAGAAAAAUGAGUUGAUAUAUCGCUCAAACAAUGGAAGACAAGCAGAGCCCUCACACCCACACGAGGACAACAAGUCACAUGCUUUCUCAUUUCCACCAGAAGCAACAAGUCAAACAGUCAGGAUAUCGGCUUCCAGUAUAAACUCACAUUGGAUUUGAAUCAGUCUCGUAAAUUUCAAUAAAAGUGAAUCUUUGACACUGCA
ensembl:lncRNA